CCCAACCGCACCAACAAAAGCGAAGCGAAGGCAGCUGGCCGGCUAGGAGCAGCCCAGGACACACAAGACGAGGAGCGCAAAACCCCACUCCACCGCGGCGCUGGGGUUUUCUCCGUCUCCUCCCUCACGGCGCUUCUUUUCCUGCUGCUGCUUCUCCUCCCCACCGGACUAGCGCGAGGGAGAGAGAGAGGGGGCGACCGGGCGAGGCGAGAUCGCCCAGCCCAGGCGAGGUGAGCCAUGGAGGAGCAGGCGCCCUUCAUCUACCGCAGCUUCUCCAGCGACGGCACCAGUAGUGAGGCCGCUCUCCUCAAGGCCGCCUUCGACGGCAACCUUGACCGGAUCAAAGGUGUUAUGAAAAGUCUUGGCAUACCAAACAGCGAACGAGCAGCAGUCUUUUCUUUUACCAUGGGCGGCUUUGGAGUGCUGCACUGUGCGGCAUGCCAGGGCCAUUUGGAGGUCUGUAAGUACCUGGUGGAAGAACUAGGGGGUGAUCCGAACAUGUCUGGAGGUGAAGGUGAAGAUCAAGUUGAAGGUGUGACACCGUUUAUGGCCUCUGCUCAAUCUGGCGAUAUUUCCACUGUGAAGUAUUUAUUUGAUCAUGGUGGUGAUCUAAUGAAGCCAGACACAAAAGGACGUACAGUACUACACCAUGCCGUGUGCUCAGGAAGCUCUACAGUAACAGAGUUCCUGCUUUCAAAAGGAAUACCUGUUGACAUAGACUAUGGCUUCGGGACACCGCUUUAUCAUGCUUGUAUCAAUGAACAGGAUAAGACCGUGAAGAUUUUGUUGAACCAUCAUGCAAAUCCCAACACCAUUUCCUGUGGCAUUGGAACUCCACUGAAUGGUGCUCUUAUUUACCGCUCAUUGAAGUGCAUGAAGCUACUUAUUAAGGCCAGUAUUUUUCUUGACUCUUUCUGUUUACUACCACUGUGCUGGCUGUUCUUUUGUUUACUGAAACCAUCUGGGCCGGUUUUUCCCCGUUUUUCUAAACUCUAUUGUGCAAUCCUUUUGACAGGAAAUUCCUGUGAACUUGCAAUUGCUGCCAAAGAGUGUUUGGCGUGAAAUUGCCUCGCUGGUGCACCGGCGAGGCUUUUCAGUUGUUGUUUUGCCUUAAGGUCUCUGUCAGUUGCAUAGAUGAAACAAGGCGAACGAACCAAGCCUGGCAAGUCCAGGCAAUCGCAAUAGCUGCACGCACACCACAGGUGACAGGUGUGUGCCCAUAAAAAGCCAGCGACAGGAAGGUCCUCUCCAAUCUCCAUUGCAUUUCCAUCUGCUUUUGGCGACGAGCAUCUCCAACAGAUUACUCAUCACCCAUUCCAAUACUAAAAAAUUAAUGUUUUGGUGAUAAAGGUGCUCUAAGAGAUUAUCAAUCCAAUUCCAUUACCUAUAAAUUUUUGGUAAUCACCAAAACACAUCUCCCUCUUCCCUAAAUGUAGGGGGUUUUUCUCUACCUUAUUUUUGGUGAUUGCAUUUUGGUAAUUAUUAUCUAAAAUACAAAAAUAGUUAUUGGUAAUUGAGAGAAAAUAUGUUUUGGAUAAGGGAUAUGAGUAAUCUGUUGGAGAUGCUCUAACUACUACAAAGUACCCCUGCCAUCAUCAUCGAUUCAUCGCCCAAAAGAAAACCCAGCUGCCCAUUGGCCAGCCAUAGAUGAUAGAUGCUUAGCACUAAAAGUAUAUCACUCUCUUGAGGUGAUCGGUCACGGGUCGAGAGAAUUAAUUAAGCACGCGUCCAUAUUCCAGGGCCGCGUCAACUUCAGCGACGGCGGACAGCCCAACCGACGGCCAGGAAUGAUUCCCUCCUUUCUCUGCUCAUGUAGAUGCCGCCCGUUUCUUCUUAUCCUCAUCUCACCUAGCUACUGGCACAGAGAUGCAUGCUGAACUUAGCUCACGAUAGGAUGGUGGUUAGCACUUAGCAGAAGAGUUGAGCUGCGAGAGGCAAUUUGUUGUGCGUGGAAAUCAAAAGCAUGGGGGGAAAGGGCCCUGAAGCUUGAGCCAUUUUCAAUGUUCCCCAGACCAUACGGCAAAGGGCAGGCAGCUCCUCUCAAAAAAAUAAAAAAAGGCAGGCAGCUGCUCAGUGUUACAUCCAGUUUCUGAAUGUAUGUACUGCUAGUGUUUCGCUUAGUAGAGCUGCUGCUAACCAGCUAGAUUAGCGGCUAAACAAGUGGGUUUAGCCGCCGAUUGGCUGUUGCAGGCUGCAUUCAUCGAUCUUGGCGAAGCCACGGCUUUGUUUUGUCACCCGCAUGAAUAGACACGCCGCUGGCAGUUGGCCGUUGUUUUCUUGGCCGUAAUGCGGCCUCGUCCUUUCACUGUUGCGCUGGCAUGUUGGAUCUCCCCUCUUUCAAAGUGUCAGCAGGACGAGUACUGUGAAUUUGAAAAGUUCAUGUGACAUCGUUUCCUUGUGCCCUCAGCAUCAUGAAGGAAUUUACUGGCUACUGCUUCUUGAUCCAAAGAAAAGCAGUGCUUCCUGGUCGAUAAACGCGCCCAAUCACAACCUGGCAGUGACUUGAAGAUUCUGAACUUCCAUCCAAUUGCUGGCCAACACCGAGAGAGAGAGACGGCAACAGGGUCGGGGCUGUCCCUUUCCUGUGCUGAUAUUUCUAUUCGUUGCAGGAUACGUUCUAGUUUUCUUUUUUUUUUCUACCCUGUUGCUUUCAGAGAUUCAGCGCAAGGUUUAUAAAAAUAUCGUCACAUUUCCAAAAAAAAAAACGACGAGACUUUUCUUAGAAAGUAGCACUCAACUUAAUGAUGAUCCCAUUGUGGCCCUUUGUGGCUUGUAGGGAACGGAGAGACAAUUUUCCUUCCAAGUUACAUUUACAUAUAGUUUGUCUUCA